UACGUAGGGUCCGAGCGUUGUCCGGAAUUACUGGGCGUAAAGAGCUCGUAGGUGGUUUGUCGCGUUGUUCGUGAAAACUCACAGCUCAACUGUGGGCGUGCGGGCGAUACGGGCAGACUUGAGUACUGCAGGGGAGACUGGAAUUCCUGGUGAUAGCGGUGGAAUACGCAGAUAUCAGGAGGAACACCGGUGGCGAAGGCGGGUCUCUGGGCAGUAAACUGACGCUGGAG
rnacentral:rRNA from 1 species